AUUUCCUGAAGGACGCGCUAUUCGACACACGGGCUUCCUUGCCGGGUAGUUUUUGGUGAGGAGCCUGCGCCGCUUCUUCCGUCCGGCUCUUCCUCGGGCGCCAGGUCUAUGCAAGCCCUGUCGCUCUUCCCCGGAGGACAGCGGGAGAGAGCCCUGUCCUCAACCCCGUGCCGUCCCCUGAAGAGCAGGAAGCCGUGGCUCCUCCACCCCGUUGUGGCUUCGGGCGUCGUUUUCCCCAAAUUGGUGGUGUUCCGGUGAAACACUGAGGAACCGCGAAUCCCAGGCGUGGGAGGAACGAAAAGAUGAGUCGGUCUCUGAAGCGUCGGCUCAGGAUCAGAUCCAGCUCCUACCAUGACAAGCGGAUACCAUUUGAAAUGUUUGGCCAACCACCUCCUUAUUCCUGUCAAGGGAAGGCCACAGAUUAUUGAACUGUCUAAUCAUCCCUUCCUCAAGUCCUUACAGGCACCAUAGCAGACAACUAGAGACACUCAGAGUCAUCUAUCAUGCCCACGGCCUGCACCACCCUUGACUGAACCAGCACACAGGUUUCCAACCUGGGGACUUGGUGUGGGUAUGCCACUUACCCGGCAAGACUCUGGGACCUUCCUAGAAGGGACGGUAUCCUGGGAUCCUGACACUGCCGGGGGCCGUCAAGGUAAUGAGGACUGCAGCUUGGAUCCACACUCCCAUCUAAAGGUGGACACAACCAGCCACGAGAAAGGUGACAAAUGGAAGGUAAUACAAAGUCCAGGUGUCCUCUAAGGGUGCGGCUCAUCUCACCUUGAACUCAGACUGACACUAACGUUGGGGAUCUUGGUAGGUCACUCCCAUAUGUGGCCAACUAAAAGUGUUGAAGUCUGGGAUUGGGAACUGUCUCCAACUGCAGAUAGGAAAGUAAGAGGCGUUUUCCGGAAUGCCACCUCCCAACCUGUGUUUAGAUUCGACCUGUGCGAUGUCUUGGAUAACAGUGAACUUAUGGGCGAAUGAAUGGGAAAGUUAUAGUGCAGUUCACCCAGGGUGGGGGACCAAAAUGCCAGAAACAUCCUUCUGGUCUUCACCAUUGUAUGCAUGCCCAGCCCACGUUUUAUUGUCAUAAAUUUAUGUCAUAAUUUUAUUUAUUCAUUCAUUCAUUCAUUCAUUCAUUUAUUUAUUGUCAUACGUGGAAAAGAGAUUAUCAUUGCUCUACCCCAGGCUGUGAGACUGAGUCUGACCAUGGCGGACAUGAAGACCAGUUUAUCUCCAGUCAACAGGUAUAUCCUCCUCAGGAUUUGCAGACCCAGGACCUGCAACCCCUUCACUUUAAAGAUCAUGACCUGGAAUGAAUUGAGCUCAAAAUACUGGCUUCCAGGCCGGACCUGGGGAUUUGUGCUUAAAUUUAAGAAAACUAAGAAACAGCCCUGGUAUAGAAUUCACUCUACGGAAAAGGGUACCAUCCCACCUAGCCAAUCCUGUAGGUCCUGGAAGGACCUGGCUGCCUCUACCAGGGACUGGUUGUCUCCUUUCUCUGUCCUCCCUUCUUAGGCCACUCCACCCAUGGUAGUAAAUGAAUCCACAAUCACAAUCAAGGGGCUACAGUAACAGACUCAGUCUCAACCCUGCUGCAGAAUGGACUUCAAGUUUUAUCCCCUGAUGAUGCCCCUGAGCUCAAGACCUUGAAGUUACUGCAUAAGUGGAUAAAUUAUACACACCCCAGCCUGGGAAGAGAUUGUUAGCUUUGUCUAGGUCCCAGGCCUCCUUUUUAUAUGGGUGUAGGGGUCAGUCAGUCUCUCUAUUAUCUCAACUACUACUCUACCAGAGAAUUUAAAUUGUAAACAGAAAGGAGCUAAACUCAUCCUGGGAGAUUCCUAAGUACCCAGUGAAUCUCUUCCACGUAGAAUUACCCAGCUUCCCUUUAUAGCCAAGCCUGUCAUACUCUACUGUACGCCAGCUGGUCAGAACUUAUUAGAAUGUACUUCCCAUCCCCUUUAAGAACAUAGUGGGCCUGUACAUUCGAGCUACAAAUCCGCAGAAAAAUUAAGUAAUUGCCUUUUAAAAACCCUUCCUUCAAUCCGUUUUGGGUGGUAUGCCUUCGAUUUGGCUUUAAGGCUGUCAACCUGCUAGCAAUUUAAAUAAACUGAUGUAAUUAUACUCUG